UAAUAAUAAUAAUAAUAAUGAAUGAGAAUUAAGUUUAUACAUCAGAAUAAUUAAAAUCAUAAUAAAUAUUAUUAUAUUAUUAAAAGUUAUGUGAAACGAAUGUUCUUUUAACACAGUCUACACCAUAAAUAAUUUUUUUUAUUACAUUCAAGAACAUUCCCAUUCCUUAUAUUUCUUUCCUCUCCUUUAAAAGUUUUAUGAUUUAGUUAGGUAUGAUAAGACAUCAAUCAAGUCUUCAAUUUUUAAAUUUUAGGAUAAAGAUAUGUAUGAUUACUGAUGGAAUCUUGCCCGACGUACCUUUCUUAGUGUUCUCUUUUUGCAUUUUUACAUUUCAUUGUAUACAUAGCUUAGCUUGCAAGGAGCAUGAGUUACUAUAAAUACCCAGCUCCUCUCUUGUAUGCUCACUUUUGUGAUGAAUGAGAAUUGAAUUUCUUAACUCCAGAAUUAAUUCUCUCUUGAAAGUCACAAGCUAGAGAGUCCCAGGGAUCCGCCUUUGGCCACCUCCAAGCACACUCUUCCAUUUCUCCAUUUUCCAUUUCUCCACCCGGCUUCCAUUUUCUCUCUUAUCCACUAAGUAAUCCUCCGCACUACCUCUCUUUCAGUGGGGACAUCUGUAGUUGCUUUGUUAGUGUCUCAUUCGCCACUUCUUAAUCUGUGACCGCAUCAUCGCCACGUCUUCUUCAAUUCUUGCAAGACGCGUCCUCAUUCAGAGAAACACAUCUCAUUUGCAUAACUCUUUCGCAUCAUUCCUCGAGAGCUUUGUUUUCUCUCGGGAGAGCUCGUCUUCGUCGCCAACCCUAUUUUCCUCAUUGUAAGUCUUGUUUUCAUCACAGAUUCACUUUGUGAGUCUCGUUUCUUCCUCCUCACAACCUCUUCCCAUCAUUUCUUUAUAUUUUGACCAAUUAAACACCUCUCCUCACAUCAUUUUCCAUUUUACACCGAUUGAACCCUCCUUUGCUUUGAUCUAACACAUUUCCACCAAUUAUACUCUGUUUCUCACUGAUUAAUAGGUUCAAGUUAGGGUUUCUACUAUGUUUUAGGGUUUCCUUCGAGUUUAUAGGUGUUUCCACCGAUUAAACCUAGGUCUAGGGUUUCGUUGUGUUGAUAACGGUUCAAAAAUCGUUAUUUUCA
rnacentral:lncRNA from 1 species